rnacentral:rRNA from 1 species
AGCUCCACUAGCGUAUAUUAAUGUUGUUGCAGUUAAAAAGCUCGUAGUUGGAUUCCUGGCGCGGGGCCGCCGGUCCGCCUUGCAAAAGGUGCGCACUGCGCGGCCUCGGCCAUUUUGGACAGAGCGGUCCUGGCAUUCAGUUGUCGGGGCCGGGAUGUCCGACGUUUACUGUGAAAAAAUCAGAGUGUUCAACGCAGGCUUAUGCCUUGAAUACAUUAGCAUGGAAUAAUGAGAUAGGACCUCGGCGGUCUAUUUUGUUGGUUUGCACGCCAAGGUAAUGAUUAACAGGGACGGUUGGGGUUCUUCGUAUUCAAUUGUCAGAGGUGAAAUUCUUGGAUUUAUGGAAGACGAACUGCUGCGAAAGCGUCGAACAAGGACGUUCUCAUUAAUCAAGAACGAA